ACCAGUUGGAAUCCGGGUCCCUCUACUGCCAAAUCCUCAUCUUUUUUUCACUGUCUGCUCCUCAUUGUUCAGGAAGGAAAUUCAACUCAAGAUUCCCAGUCUACUACUGAAGUUGCUACUCAUCUUGUCUUCCACAGUGAGUCAGUAUGUGGGAAGAAGCCCAAGAUGCAUCAUGGGAAGGAGGUUCAGACCCUGGUCAAACAAAUCUAAGAUGAAUACAACGUUCUCUGGGACUCAACUGAAGGUACUCAACAUUGGAUCCAUGGAGCAAAAAUACUUAGCCCAUAGUGGAUCUGCAGCUGAGAACUUGAACCUUACCUCCAGACAGGUCAAGAUCUGAUUUCAGGACCAGAGAAUGAAGUCAAAGAGUUGACAGAAAAACACUGCGUGGUCAAAGAAUGGCAGCAGUGAUGAAUCAGCUGUUGGGGAGGACAAAGGUAUCAUUACUUUCCAUUUCACCAUUAUACAGAUGAGGAAACAGUAGGUAAGUGACUUGCCCAAGGUCACACAGCUUAGUAAGUGUCUGAGGGCAGAUCUGAACUAAGGUUUUCCUGACUCCAGACUUAGUACUGUAUCCACUGUACCUCCUAGCUGCCUAGGUAUUUUGUAAACUCUUAACCAUUGUGUAAGAGUGAAUUGAUUAUUAUUAUUCUCUCCCUUGUAAUUCUUGACCCUAAUGAGGAGCUUAGGUGGCAUAAUGGGUAGAGUAUUGGGUAGGCAAGCCAAACCUGGGUCCA
rnacentral:lncRNA from 1 species